CUUUAAAAAUCUGGAUCAAGCUGAAAAUUGAAACGACACACUGUGUCUGCUCUCCGUAAUAAGAGCAGAUAAGCGGUGUGUUCGAGUCUCUCAAAUUUUCGCAACACUGCGGGUGUUUUACGAAACAUCUUCGG
rfam:Enterobacter sp. 638, complete genome.